rnacentral:misc_RNA from 1 species
GAUAAGAACGUAGUGAAAUGCGAUAACUAGUGUGAAUUGCAGAAUUCCGUGAAUCAUCGAGUCUUUGAACGCACAUUGCGCCCCCUGGUAUUCCGGGGGGCAUGCCUGUCCGAGCGUCAUUGCUGCCCAUCAAGCACGGCUUGUGUGUUGGGUCGUCGUCCCCUCUCCGGGGGGGACGGGCCCCAAAGGCAGCGGCGGCACCGCGUCCGAUCCUCGAGCGUAUGGGGCUUUGUCACCCGCUCUGUAGGCCCGGCCGGCGCUUGCCGAACGCAAAUCAAUCUUUUUCCAGGUUGACCUCGGAUCAGGUAGGGAUACCCGCUGAACUUAAGCAUAUCAAUAAGCGGAGGA